CUGGCUCCACGUAACUACUGGUGUCGACCAACAUCCACCUAGUGUCGAUCGUCAUUGGCUCCGCAAAUGCCCCAUAAUCACCUCUUCUCCCAAUGCAUCCAAACACAAAUCCUAUCAUCAAUCAUGCAAUACAUAGCACCAAUCUCACAGAAACAAACACACAAUCAAAACCCAAAUCCAUUUACACAAUCUAAACACACAUCAUAAAGGUUCACAAGUUUAGAUUAGCAAUAGACACGCUCUCGCCUUUGAUUUGGUUUGAUUGGGAGACAUAAAUAGGAAGAACACAAAAAGAGUAGAGCCUUCUCACACAAAUCUCCUCAACUCUUUGCCCAAACACACAACAACUACCCUCAAACACCUCUAGAACGCCUCCAUAAACUUUUUCUGAAGCCUCAACUUUCAUCUCCUUAAAAU
rnacentral:lncRNA from 1 species